UUUCAGAUUGCUUAUAUUCAGAGAAAAUACGGUACAUUUUUUACACAUAAGUUUUCCGAAUUAAUUGAAUAACUGAGACGUGUAGUUUGAAAGUGGCCUAACUCCAUUUAUAGUUACAUCAAGAUAUUUACUAUUGAUAAUGUCGGAAAGCAGCGAUGAAGAAAUUAUUGCACCCAUGAGGAAGAACUGGAGAAGACCACUUAGUUCAGAUAGUGAAGAAGAAAUAGUAAUUAAUAAUUAAAAAAAAGCGAAUAAGAAAAAGAGUUAUAGAACAAUAUUCCUCGUCAGAGGAUGAAGAUUCAAAUAACAAUGGAGAAAAGAUAGAUGCACCAUAUAUCCAAAAAGUGCGAAAGAUUAAACGGAAUUCAGGAAAAA